CGUGGGUAACCUGCCUCAUACACAUGGAUAACAUACCGAAAGGUAUGCUAAUACAAGAUGAUAUAAGAGAUUCGCAUGGAUUUCUUAUCAAAGCUCCGGCGGUAUGAGAUGGACCCGCGUCUGAUUAGCUAGUUGGUAAGGUAAUGGCUUACCAAGGCAACGAUCAGUAGCCGACCUGAGAGGGUGAUCGGCCACAUUGGGACUGAGACACGGCCCAG
rnacentral:rRNA from 1 species